CCACUGGAUGACGAAGAGAUGGUUUCGUAUAUCCUCGCUGGCCUUGACAUCGACUUCAAUCCUCUUGUUGCCGCCCUUGUCUCAAGGGUGGAACCAAUCUAAGUUUCCGAAUUAUAUGCUCAGCUUCUAAGUUUUGAGA